rnacentral:rRNA from 1 species
GCCGAAAGGCGGGGGUGCCCGCAAGGGAGCGCGGAGACAGGUGGUGCAUGGCUGUCGUCAGCUCGUGUCGUGAGAUGUUGGGUUAAGUCCCGCAACGAGCGCAACCCUCACCCCUUGUUGCCACCAGGUCAUGCUGGGCACUCUAGGGGAACUGCCCCGGUCAACGGGGAGGAAGGCGGGGAUGACGUCAAGUCAUCAUGCCCCUUACGUCCUGGGCUACACACGUGCUACAAUGGCCGGUACAAAGGGAUGCAAGACCGCGAGGUGGAGCUAAACCCAAAAAGCCGGUCUAAGUUCAGAUUGGAGUCUGCAACUCGACUCCAUGAAGGAGGAAUCGCUAGUAAUCGCGCAUCAGCACGGCGCGGUGAAUACGUUCCCGGGCCUUGUACACACCGCCCGUCACACCACGAAAGCCAG